rnacentral:rRNA from 1 species
GCUUAAAAGUUUGAAGUUGUUUAGAGAAAUAUGUCAAAAGAAUAAGUUUCAAAAAUUAAUUUAUAAAAUUAAUAGUAAAAAAUUAGAAAUUAAUAGAUAAACAAUAGAGAAGGAGUACUGUAGAGGAAGAUUUUAUAAAUUAAGAAAAAGAAGAAGUAAAAUUUUGUACCUUUAGCAUAAGGGUUUCUUAAAGUAAAUUAUUUAAAGAUAAAUAUCCCGAAAUAGGAAGAGCUAUUUUUGUAUUUUAGUUAACGUUGUAUAGUUAUUAAUAAUUAAAAAAUAGUGAUGAAAUGUUAUACGAUUCUUAUAUAUCUGGUUUCUUGUGAAUUAAAUUUAAUUUACUUUUUAUAGUACAAAUUUGAUAUAAGAGGAAAAAAUUAGGGGGAUAAGCUCCUAAUUUAAAAAUUACAGGAAGAUAAAAAAAUAGCUUUUUGUUAGGCUUAGAAGCAGUCGCACAAAUAAAACGUUUUAGUUAAAUGGAUUAGAAUUUUAUAAUUUUUAUUUUUAUUAAUUUAAGUAACAAGAAUUUAUGUUUAACAAAAAAAUAUAAGAUAAAAUGAGUAAAUUAGUAUAUAAAAGAUGUAAGAAGAAAAAAUUUAAAUAAGUUUAAGUUUAUUUAUUAAAAAUUGUGUUUGAAAGGAACUCGGCAAAAAUUUACUCUGCCUGUUUAUCAAAAACAUGUCUUUGAGGAUAAAAUUCAAAGUCAGGCCUGCCCGCUGGUUAAACUGAAGGGCUGCGGUAUUCCUGACCGUGCAAAGGUAGCAUAAUCGUUUGUCUUUUAAAUGGGGGCUAGAAUGAAGGGUUUGACAAGAGUGAUACUGUCUUUCAAAUAAAAUUUGAAUUUUACUUUUAUGUGAAAAGGCUUAAAUAAAAUGAAGGGAAGAUAAGACCCUAUAAAGCUUAAAUAAGAAAAAUUAUUGCAAUACGAUCUUAAAUUAAAAGUUUGUAGUAAGUACUUAUUAUGUUGGGGCGACAGUAAUAAAAGAAAAUAACUAUUAUGAGUAAGGAAUAUGAUAAGUAGAAAUAAAAUGAUCCUUUAAUAAAGAUUUAAAGAAAAAGUUACUUUAGGGAUAACAGCGUAAUUUUCCUUGAGAGUUCGUAUCGACAGGAGUAGUUACGACCUCGAUGUUGAAUUAACAUGACUUUAUGGGGCAGCCCCUAUAAAAGUUGGUCUGUUCGACCUUUAAUAUGUUACAUGAUUUGAGUUCAGACCGGUUAAGCCAGGUCGGUUUCUAUCUUUCAUCGAGUAUAUAUUCUUUCUCGUACGAAAGGAUAGAAAGAAAAAAAUAAUUUUUUAAAAGGGACUAGGAAUAAAAUAGGACUGUCUUAGCAAAUUUUAAUGCGUCAGAAUUAGGAUCUGAA